GAUAAGUCGAUCACUCCAUUUGGAAGGCUGCCGUGGUCACAUUUUGAUAUUCAUCUCAUCUCUGUUCCUCUCUGUCCUUUUUUCAGGAUCCCAUCAUGUUCUAUGUUUGUUCAGGAGGUUCACUUGACCAUGCAGACUUUUGGAUUCCUCUAAGUUCCCAUGUUUGAGGAAGCAUUUGGUGUUGCUGUGCAAAGUGUUGCUGCAGUGGAGGUUCAAGGUUACUGUUUAUUGAUAUGGAUCCCAUCAUACUUUGUUCAUUGUUUGUUCAGGAGUUUGCCCUAAGUCUCCGUGUUUGAGGGCCUAUUCUGUGGAUAUAUUUAUUUGCACUUUUAUUGAUG